rnacentral:sRNA from 1 species
ACCAACCAAAAGAAUAAAAUUAUGCAAAUUUUUUUGUUGUUUUCCCCAAUACAAAAAUAAUUUUUUGUGAUGCUCUUUCUGAUGAAUGAAAUUCACAGAAAAACCGCAAAAAAAAUAUACAAAAAUUUGUUGUGUCUCUAAACAAAUAUAUAAACGGUAAUAUUUGGACUCGCGAUUCGGUUCGGGAUCGUUGGGCUAUAGCUUCUGAGCCCCCACCGUCAAAGAACUGUACCGUACCGGUCGUCGCGUCGCUUCUUUGGAGGUGUUUCGAAAAAGUACCACCACGAAAAUGCAUAAAUUUCGAAUACAGUCCAAAACGGGUGCACAAUAAGCCGACAAAAACAGGAUCCUUCAGCGGCUAAGGAACACCUCAUCAAUGGUCUCUCAACGCAAUUGGUACGUGUCGUCAUGCCCAUAAAAAUGCUCGUAAAACACAUGAAUUAUUACAAUUGGUAAAUAUGC